rnacentral:misc_RNA from 1 species
UUUAGGGAGACCUACCCACUCAAAUAUCGAGAUAGAUAAGUAUAUAGAUAUUGAGUUGGUCAUCCUAGGUCGGUCGAGAUUGGAAAAAGCUUUCAAAGUAUUAGUGGUUUGGUUAAAAACCAACAGAAGUUAAGGAAAAAAGUUCAGCACCUAGCUGUAGUGGUUAGAAUGCUGGGUUGAAUCCAGCCAGAACCUUGAAAACUGCAUAGAAACGCGAUUAAUUAGCAGGCAGACGAAUCGGAGUGCUGAGUGCGGAGUGCUGAGUGCUGAGUAAGAUCAGUGCAAGGAACAAAGUAAACAGAACAAAGAAAAGUUUGCAGAUGAUUCAAAGCCAAAUGUUUUUGUG